rnacentral:lncRNA from 1 species
UGAAGACAGUGAUAUUUCAACUGAAGAGGAACCUCUUUUCCAACACAGACCUAAUGGUGAAAACAGAAUAAAUAUAAUAAGGAACAUUAACACGUAUGCCAGAACAAAGACUCUUGCUCAGGGCUUUCUGGAUAUGGCACUCUUCACUGCUAAUGCCUCACAAAUGAAACACCUUCUGCAACAAGGAACUGAUGCACAGUUUUAUUACUUUCUUUUUGUCCUUCUGUGCAUUUCAAUCAUCCUCCAGCUAAUUGUGGCAGCUUUAUUGAUCUACAAGGGGUCAAAGAACAUAGAAAAUGAUGAUCCUGAGUGCAGACUUAGUGACAGAGUUCACCUGAAGAAUAAUAUUGUGACAGGACUAAUUCUGGUCAUCACAGCUGUCAAUGUCUUCAUCACUGCCUUCUGGUUUUCUCCUCUUCAGCUGACCCCUGAAGACCAAGAUCCUGCAGCUACAGGAACCAUUGCAGUAUAUUAGCAGUAUCAUUACUAUGUGCAAAGUGCUCAAAGGGUGAAAUAUAUUACAGUAGACUUUUACACAGGAUUAUAAGCCUUAUAUCCAAAAACAAAUCAAAAUUAAACUGACUCUUUUUGGAUAGGGAAAAUCUUGGUCUUCAAGCAGGCAUGUUGCCCCUGCUCAGUUACACUACUUAUAACCAAGUAGAAGUCACUAAUCUCAGAUUAAGUCUCUUU